GCCCAUUGCGGACUGAGAUGGCUCAGUUGGUAGAACAUGGGACUCAAUCUCAGGGUUGUGGGUUCAAGCCCCAUGUUGGGCA